UGUCUUUCUCUGAGAGGGUUUCCUUCUGUGUGGUGAAGAAUAAGCUCCUCCUCUUCCUCUCACACACACAAUGUGGUCUUCAGAGACCUGCACUUACAGCUUCAAUGCACUUUCAUCAAGUCCUCUUCUUCUACUCUCAGCCACUAGCCCCUUUAUUGUCAUCAUCCAUCUUCGCUUCUGAUGAUGUGUUUUCACUCCCGUUCUCCAAGUCCAGCUCCUCCUCUUCCUCCUCCUCCGCCGCCGCCCCCUCCUCCUCUUGCUUCCCUUUGGCCUCCUCGUCUGUUGGCUUCCGGCCCGCGCCCUGCUUGUCCCGGAAGACUUCCACGCCCAGCAUGCGGAGGUAGUGGUACCUCUCGUUGCGGGGGACGAAGGCUCGGAUGGACGUCUUUCCUCUCCAGCCGCACAGUUGGAUGGAACACUGAGGCUCUGCUGGCUUACUGGCAAACGGAAGCAGUCUGACUCACCCACACACGCCAUCUUGUUUGUCACUCAGAGGAGCUCCUUUGGGUACUCCCGCCUGGGCCUCCUCCCCGUCUACUUUGCUCUCGGCGUCUCCUUCCUCCAUCUCCUCUCCCUCAGGAAGGGAGGGAGUCUCCGCUGGGGCCACAUGAGAGCUUUGAGUUUGGGGUUCGGAGCCCGACGAGGCCUCUUUCCUCAGCUGGAGGCGAGCGGGACAAGUAAAUGUGAUUUGUUACCGGCUGCGAUGAGGACAACUGAACAGUACCUUCCAGGAAGUGACCCCGGGCAUCCACUUCAAGCCCGGUAGGUCAGCAGAGCAGUCGACCAGCUCCAGUGCUCCUUAUAAUGGGAAUGGGACCAGCAAGAAACAGCGCCGCAAUGACAGCUUCGUCCUCAAUGGGGUUGAGGGAACAGGUGGAGUAGACCAUCGUGCCGCCCACGGCCAGCUGUUCGACACCACGCACGGCAAUACGCAUCUGGAGGCUGGGCACGUCGCACAAGAUGCGGUCGUAGAAGAGGAUGUCCUUCUUGCCGUCCGAACCUUGGAUCUGCAGCAUGGGGAUGCAGGACGCGUCGUGGUUGGCCACCAUGAUGCAGGGGCUGUUGAGACGUUUGGCCUGGUGAACCAGCAGGUAGCAGCGUUUGUUGUCCACGUCGUUGGCGAUGACGAAGCCCUCUGGAACGUGGAGCACAGUGGAAUUUGUUCCGUGACCACGCUCGUAACCCAAAACUAGGGUCCGACCGAUAUGGAGCCGAUAUUCGGCAGAGUAAAAUUCAGAUACAUGAUUAAUAGCCCAAUUCAUCGAAUAUAUAUAUAAGAAACUUCUUUUUUGGUCACUUAACACUUUCAACAACAAAUAAAUUUGACUGUUUUACAAUACUUUGUCCUUUACAAUCGAGAGAAAUUAACAAAAAUCUGUCUUUUUUUAUGCCUAUUUUUGCAAAUUGUUUUUAUAUCAUUAUCUUUGUUUUAUGUUAUAAUGUGUUAAUCUGAGGGGGGGAAAAAAGGUCAGCAAAAACAUCACACGAUUCUUGUCAAUUUUAAAAGGGCUAGUAUUGGCCGACCGAUUAAUUAGUCGGGGCCUACUAAAAACACUC